UGUGACUCUAGGGCUGCAAUACUGCCACAACAUUAUUCAGAUGGACUGUCUUCUCUUUCAACUAUCAUCUGAGCAGUUAUUUAGGACAACUGCAAAUGAGGGGAAGACACUUCCUUCCAACGUGUGACCAGCAAAGCCACAUCCUUUGCAGAUAUGACAGGAUUUGCAAAUGCCCAGGGUGAUUGACAGAGAGAAUUGACAAUGGACCAAGCGGAAGAUGCAAGGGCAUUUUUGUUACUGUGUUGUUGUGGUGAAAGACAAACAGAAAGAAGAAGAAGAAGAAGAAGAAGAAGAAGAAGAAGAAGAAGAAGAAGAAGAAGAAGACAAAGACAAGUCAUAUCUGCCUCACAUUCUCCAUUAACACAGAUUCAUACUUUAAUGAUAUACUGUUUUCUGCCAAAAAAUAAAAAUAAAAUUUAGUUAGAGAGAAGAUUUUUCUCUAGCAGACUAAUUUACUUAAUUAGCCAUGAUACCCCUUAAUGCAUUCAAAAGUAUGGCAAAACAAAGUAUGUUUCAAAUUUGUUUAAUUAUGAUAAUUAGUAAUUAUAGGAAAUGAUAAUCAGUGGAAUUAGUUAAGUGUUAGAGAGAGAAUUAUUUAGUUAUUAAAAGAUUUGCAAGAAAUA